GCCAUGGCGACCGGGGCUGCGCCCGCGGCGGCGGCCCGGCCCCGCUUCCCCCUCCCGGGCGCACCUGCAGCGGGGGCCGCCGCCGGACGCCCCGCCAUGCCGCGGGGGGAGGACGAGGGAAUGUGGGAAGGCGGGGGGAGCCCGCAGAAAGGAGAGAGGAAAGUGUAAACCGGCCAAAAUCGCGGAUGGACGAGGGGGGGAAAGGUGCCGGCGCCGCUCGCCCCCCAGCCGGGCUGCCCUGCGGGGCCGGGUUGCCGCGACCCGGGCGGGAAGGAACGGGCCGCGCUUCCCAGGCUCCGAAGGGGGUAGAGAGUGGGGGUCCGGUCCUGCCGCACCCCUUCGCCCCCCAAAUCCCCAGCCCCCCUCAAAAAAGUGUUUUCAUGGGUUUUUUUGGAGGCUGCCUUUCUUUCGCCUCUGAAGGUCUUUCUAGCCCAGCCCAGGGUCACACAGUCACCCCGCGGCCAGGCUUCUCCCGGGGCUCCAGGCAGGAGCUGCGGCACGGCGCUGCCGCCCCCCUUGAGGACCGGCGCGUUCCUCCGCGGCCCUGUCCCUUGCCGCUAAUGAAAUCUAUCUAAAACAUCCAGUAAUAAUGUAAAUAGCUUUAAUUGCCUCGUAUUUAAGCCAUCAAACCAGACUUAAAAAAAAAAAAAAUCUGUUAAAAUUGGCCCGGUUCCAAGUCAUUGACACCAUCCAGCCUGUCCAAGCGGGGUGUCCAAAUGUUUUGAUACAGGAGUUUUCAAUGUACCAGUUCUCAAGGUUUUACACCUGCUGCCUGGCUCCAGCCAACACAGGACUUACCCAGAAAGGUAAAGGAGAGAGAAAGUGGUCAUGUCAUGAAAGGCAGCUAGAAGACUAUGGGAAGUGCACAGCUCUGGGGAUGAGUCUGCCACGUGUGAGUCUAAAGAAGUGGAUAUUUCACUGCAGGGAUAUGUGCCUUGGGACAAGGCCUCCGAAGCUGCAUGAGUGCAAAAGUGAGAGGAAAGAAUAAGGGAACAGAUGGCAGAAAUUUCCCAAGGGAGAAAAGAGAAUUACUAGAGAAGAUCAGGAUCAGACCUGCACAGUCCAAAGUGCUUCUUUUUAUGCUGCCCAGAAUGGUGUUCAUCGUUGGGACUCCUCAGAGUACUGAUCAGCAUCAAGAGGAGAACAAUGCUGGAGAUUUUUAUGUUAGCUGGCUUGUACUGUUUAGCAACUUUUUGUUUGUGUCGUGAAGGAAGGGUUGGGGAAUAUAUCACUUUUAUUCCUGUUAUUUCCAAGAUUGCUUUAGUUGUACUUGGCUGGUUGAUCUUGUUGCAUUUAUGUGGAUAGUAGAGGGGUAUAUAAGACAAAACCAAAAAAUUCUGUAACUGUAGAACAAAUCUCCAUUGAUUUUAAAGGAGAAUAAAAGAGAAGAAUAAAGUAACACAAAGAAAAUGUUUCUUGCAGUGCAGUAAAACCCAGACAAAAUCUGAAAUGCUCUAUAAAAAGGGAGACAGCAUGUUUACCAGUUGUUAUUCCUAUGAUACGGGUCAUUGUUUUGUUUUAUUGUGUAACCUGUGAUUUAUUACAGUGCUCAUCAACACAGUAACAUCCACUCUACAUAUGAUAGAUGCAUAUAUAUUUUAUAUCUUAGCCAGACAGGAUGAAGAAUACAGCCUGAUCUCUCUGGAGCAAAGAGAAGUCAAGCUAGUACCCUGACUGACAAGUGCUCAGGUCUAUUGGAAUACAGAAGUGGCACAAGGGCUUAGAAAGCUGCAAGAUCCAGCUCCAACUUGCAUCAGUUACACCGGUAUGUUUUGUCUUCAUUGAAUUUUGAAUUGGCCCUGAUGUCAUGAUGAGAGUUGUAUCAUUGAUGGUGGUGUCAUUCCUGAGCUUUGGAAUGCUGUGAAAAAAUGCAGUUCCUUAGAAAACAGUAUGUUGAAGGUUCAGGGGAUGUGCCAAAGGAGUAUCUUUGGAGUUCCUGGGUUUAAGAUGCAAGUCACUGGUUUUGAUUAAGUACAGGCUUAUAUUAUUAGAGAAAGGUCUCAGCAGAGGCAAAUUACCAUUUACAGGUGAGAGAAGUAUCCUGUUUCCUUUGCCUUUAAGGAGAAUAUUUUCAAUUUUUCCCAAACAGAUAUGACUUUACAGUUCUUUCACACAAAUGACUUAGUGUGAAAUCUUCUGUAAGAAAUACAGUGGGUCAUUAAUGGCCUGCAGAGGAGGCAGUAAGUGGUGACAAGUAUCUGCAGGUGAAAGCCAAGUAGAUAAAUAUAAGGUACUUUGGAACCUGUUUUCUUAUCUAACCUUUUAAGGUUGUCAUUAACAGUUUCCUGUUUAUCCUUCGGUUGAAAUCUCUGCUCACCUUGAAGAAGCCGAUUGUUUGGUGGGAAGACUCAUUAGAAGCUGUAUCUCUCUCCACCUCAGCAACUAGGCAUACAGCUCUGAGAUUUUAUUCCCAGUUCAGGAUUGGAAGGCUGCUUUAACUAACAAAAUGUUACUGUCUUUGUGGUUUGUUUUUUUUUUUUUUUUUUUUUUUUUUUUUUUUUUUUUUUUUUUUGGUGUGUGUGUGUGUGUGUGUGUGCAUGUGUUUUUGGGGCCAUUUUGAGACUAAAACCAAGAGCUAUCUCAGGGGGGUUAUGGUUAGCUCAUGCUAUGCAGAAUUACACACAGUAGGAAAUCUGGGGAUUUCUCUCUCUUGCUUCAGUGACUCCAGCAGCUUGCCCAGCAAUCCUAUAGCUACAUGUUGUAAGGGUCAUGGGCUUGGAGCAAAGCCAACACUAGUGUUAGCAAGCAGAAUUCCUUAUGACUCUACCUUUUUUUUUUUUUUUUUUUUUUUUUUUCCCUAUUGGCCCAACACAAGCAGUAAAAGUAACAUAUCUGAACCUGUUUCCUUGUCUAUUCUGGUGGUUUCCCACUUUCUUCUCCCCCAGUUCAGGGAAAGUGGGGGAAAAAUGUUUGCCUUUGCCCAGCAGCACUGCAGGUGUCUGUCCCUCUGAAAGAGUCCCAGUGAUGUGGGCGUGCUGGAAAGAAAAAUCCCCAGUGACUUCACCCAGCCUGGCUUGUGGUGGUUACUCACAAUGAGCUCUGCAUGCUUAAUGCUACAUCUGAGUUUUUGCAUAUGAGUGAAACUGCAGCUCCGGGACUGAUUUCAGGGAGUUUUCUCUGCAGAGUAAUUUUGGUGAGUAAACACAGAUAAGAGGAAGCUGGGUUAAUCCAAUAACUCCUCCCUCAAGGGCAGGUGCAGCAAUGUGGCUCAAGGUACAGAACAGAGGAAAUGCCUUGUUGACACAGGUGAUCAGAGCAAAGUGGCCAAAAUUGAUAUAAUGAUAUGAGUUUGCAAUGCAAAGCCCUGCUUUCUCAAGGCUGCUAUUUGCAGCCUUACAUAGCACAUCUCUGGUCUUUCACCUCUGUUUGGUCAGACGUCCAGUUGUGGGUGAUUUCCUAGCUCCCUUUCAUGAUCUCUCAGUAGCUGCAUUGCUACAGUGCAACUUGGACUGUGUUGUGUUAACCUGAGAGGAUUAUUAAAAUAAACUCUGAGUCAUAUUUGAGCUGUUCUCAUCCUGAUUUGUCUCCAGCCUUUCCCCUGCUAUUACAGCUCUGGUAUCCUACAGCAAGUAAGAACAUAAUAUUACAACUGUUCACACGUGGGAGAUGGAGGAACUGCGUUAAGAGCCCAUCAGAUAGGAAGACUUGGUGUGAGAACCAUAUGGAAGGGAAGAAGUAUCCUAGACUCAAGAUGCAAGUUUAUGGAUUGCAAGACAGGAGACCAAACACUGAAACACCAUCUAACAAAAGGAGAAAGGAAGAAGGAAUAAAACAGACAAAAUAUGAAAAGUUUUGCAAAGAUGAAACCAAGAGAAUAUUUAUGACAUUAAAGACGCAGCAGGAUGAACAGAAGGAUAACUCUGGAACAACUUGCUGAAAACUCUUCUGCUGUUUGUCCUUUGGAAUAUGGAAAAAACCAGUUAGAGCAAAAAAAAUGGGUUUUUUUGCACCUGUUUGCUGCCUCUCUGUCUCUUCCAGUGUCUGCUGCAGAGGAGCUGGGAACAUGAGAGUUGACACUGUAGCCCAGAGGAGGAAAACUCUAUAGUGGACAAAGGACAGCUAAUGCAUAUCAGCACCUUGAAGAAGAAGAUACCAAAUGAUUAUAUUACCAAGGCACAUUUGGGAGAAGCAGGCUCCUGAAAAACUGCUGAAGAAUCACAUCUUCACUGCAUGGAGAAGUCCAGAAGUGUCUUGCAGGGACAACAUCUAUGCUGAAGAUAAUUUUAAAGUGUACCCCAUGUGAAAAUGCCAAGGAAUAAAAGUGGCAAUGAGGUGCAAGCCCUAUGAAAAGAAGCUGAAGAAGCCAGGGUUGUUUAAUCUGGAGAAAAGGCAGCUCAGCAGGACCUUAUUGCUCUCUUCAAAGGAAAGUGCUCUCUGCCUGAAAGGAGAGUGUACCUAGAUCUCCUCCUAAAAAGAGACAGGACAAGAGGAAAUGUCCUGAAGUUCCACAGAUGGCAAAAAUGGAAAGAAGCUUGAAGUCAAAGCACCCCAAAGCAAUGAACUUCCCCAAAAAACUUCAAAUUACACUGUUACUCUGGCAAGUUUUACUGCAGAUAAAUUCAUGAAAUGGAGAAGGGGUUGUGAAGAUAGUAGAUGUGGCCAUAAUUUUGGCCUGCUAUGGAAAGUGUGGAACCAGAUGUGGAAGUUAAUGUAGAAAAGGAACAUUGAGGGAGUAUAAACAGAUGGCAAAUAAAAUAAGACCUUUCUGUCUCAUAUUUAUGAAGAAGUCACAUGUAAGAAAAUGAACUUCUAAGAACCCACUGUGAGCAAUGAAAUAGGAGAGUCUGGAAGAAAGAAUCUGGGACUGAUCGUAUUAAAUAAACUCCAGUGUCAAAGAGCAUCGUGGGAUGUAUUGCUCAAGAACAAUAAAUCCUAUCACAAAGAUUUCUGCCGCCAAGAUUUAGUAUCUCCAGUGUGAUGCACAUACUGCUGGAUUAGCUCUAGCUUGCAGACCAGCUGAUAGUUCUGUGUAGAAGAAUUUCUUUCUGGUCAGCACAUCGACUGAAAAGUCUUACUUUCCAUGAAAAACAUUUGAAAUUCAGUAUUUUUCAACCAGCCCAACACUUUACUGUGCACAGUUUUCCCUUAGCUUCCUUUGGAUGGUAAAGGGUCCUGGUCCCGACCUCGUGCUCUGUAACU